rnacentral:rRNA from 1 species
AAGUCGAGCGGACAGAUGGGAGCUUGCUCCCUGAUGUUAGCGGCGGACGGGUGAGUAACACGUGGGUAACCUGCCUGUAAGACUGGGAUAACUCCGGGAAACCGGGGCUAAUACCGGAUGGUUGUUUGAACCGCAUGGUUCAAGGGUAAAAGGUGGCUUCUGCUAUCACUUUCGGAUGGGCCCCCGGCGCAUUAUCUAGUUGGUGAGGUAACGGCUCACCAAGGCGACGAUGCGUAGCCCACCUGAGAGGGUGAUCCGCCACACUGGGACUGAGACACCGCCCCCACUCCUACGGGAGGCAGCAGUAAGGAAUCUUCCGCAAUGGACGAAAGUCUGACGGAGCAACGCCGCGUGAGUGAUGAAGGUUUUCGGAUCGUAAAGCUCUGUUGUGAGGGAAGAACCGGUACCGUUCGAAUAGGGCGGUACCUUGACGGUACCUCACCAGAAAGCCACGGCUAACUACGUGCCACAGCCGCGGUAAUACGUAGGUGGCAAGCGUUGUCCGGAAUUAUUGGGCGUAAAGGGCUCGCAGGCGGUUUCUUAAGUCUGAUGUGAAAGCUCCCGGCUCAACCGGGAAAGGUCAUUGGAAACUGGGGAACUUGAGUGCAGAAGAGGAAGUGGAAUUCCCGUGUAGCGGUGAAAUGCGUAUAGAUGUGGAGGAACACCAUGGCGAAGCGACUCUCUGGUCUGUACUGACGCUGAGGAGCGAAACGUGUGGAGCGAACAGGAUUAUAUACCUGGUGUCCCGCCGUAACGAUGAGUGCUAAUGUUAGGGGUUCCGCCCUUAUGCUGCACUAAGCUUUAGCCUCCCCUGGGGAGACGGUCCAAGAUGAACUCAAGGAUUGACGGGGCCCCACAACGUGGAGCUGUGGUUAAUUCCAGCACGCGAAAACUUACCGGGCUGAAUCCUUGACACCCAAAAUAGGCUUCCCUUCGGGGCAAAUGCAGUGGGGCUGGUGUCCCCCCCCGUCUGGAAUUGGGUAAU